rnacentral:rRNA from 1 species
GACGAACGCUGGCGGCGUGCUUAACACAUGCAAGUCGAACGGUGAAGCGCCUUCUUUUUUGGUUGGUGUGGAUGAGUGGCGAACGGGUGAGUAACACGUGAGUAACCUGCCCCCUUCUUUUGGAUAACCGCAUGAAAGUGUGGCUAAUACGGGAUAUUCUGGGUCUGUCGCAUGAUGGGUCUGUGAAAGAUAUUGUUUCGGUGGGGGAUGGUCUCGCGGCCUAUCAGCUUGUUGGUGGGGUGAUGGCCUACGAAGGCGGUGACGGGUAGCCGGCCUGAGAGGGUGGACGGUCACACAGGGACUGCGACACGACCCAGACUCCGACAGGAGGCAGCAGUGGGGAGUAGUGCACAAUGGGCGCAAGCGUGAUGCAGCGGCGCCGCGGAAGGGAUGGAGGCCUUCGGGUUGUGAACCUCUUUCGCCAGUGAAGCAGGCCUGCCUCGUUUGUGGGUGGGUUGACGGUAGCUGGAUAAGAAGCGCCGGCUAACUACGUG